AUACUCUUAAUGAUUCCCAUGUUAAAGUUAUGGAUUAUGCUGUGCUCAAACAACUGAGAUAUUGCCAGCUCUUUUGAUAUGCUUGUUGGCUAGUAGUCAUUAUACGCAUGUGUUGCUCGGUGGGCUGCUGCGUUAUUCGUCUGGUUGCACAGAAUAAUGUGUAGCCAGCUCCUGGGGAUAGAGAGGAAGCAACUAGGUGAUUAACUUCACCAGAAGAAGCCAGAACUGAGAAGCAAUUGACCUUGGAGGAGUUGUUACAGGUUGCAUGUAGGAGUCCUUAGCUGAAGGCAUUGUCCUUAAAUUGCUG
rnacentral:misc_RNA from 1 species